rnacentral:ncRNA from 1 species
UUAAAUUCUAUGAAGAGAAAAAGUAAAUUAUAUUUUUGUUCUAAAGAGAGUUGGUAUUUUGCUGAAAGCCAAUGUUCAAUAUAUAUUUGAAAAUCAUCUCUGAGAAGUAAAGCUGAAAUAUAGUAAGCUUUAUCGGAGUUUCACCGUUAAAAGAAAAGCGUAUUAUUAGUACGUAUUAGAGAGCUAUAAAAUAUUUAUAUAUUUUUUUAUUUUAUAGAAUUAGGGUGGUAACGCGAUUAAACCUCGUCCCUUUU